rnacentral:rRNA from 1 species
CUUGGUUGUCAUAGGAAUGCCACUGAAAAUUAGUUUCAGAAGCUAAACAAAGUCUUACCUGGUUAAUACCUGGAUGGGAGACCCCCCAGGAAUAUGAAGGCUCUUAAGG